CAGGCGUCCCUGGAAUCCGUACUCCAGAGCCGCCUCACCCCACCCCUACCUCCACACCAGGGCAGGUGGGACCCAUACAGACCCUGCCAGGCCCACCUGCCCCCCAGCCACCCCGGCUUCUCUGACUGAAAGUCCUAGCACCCACUAGGCCACUCAUGGGCACACGGCCCCCUGCUGCCCCUUCUGAUUGCGUGCUGCCACCCAGGUCUGCACAGCUCCACCCUCGAGGCCUUUUUGGGCACUUGCUCAAGUGCUACUUCCUCUCUGAGAUCCACCCUGACCUCCUCUCCUGCUUGCACUUUGCUCACAGCACUAAGCACUUCAUCGUACACAGGGAUGAGAGGAAGAGCGGACCCCCUAGACGCCCAGGCCCCGAUUGCCAGAGCCAGUGGCCUUAUUGCCUUACCUGCAGAAGGGACUUGGUGGAUGUGAGUGAGCGAAGGACGUGGGGUUGGAGAGAUGACCCCAGAUUACCCACACGGGUCCAGCGUCAUCGCAGACGUCCUGGUGCAAUCACAGGAGGGGCCCGGAGACCUGGAGGUGCGACGACAGAGCCCAGAGCCGUAGCUGCUGAUUCUGAGCUAUGGCCCCAGCCCCCGAGACCGUGAGAGCCCUGCCCACGGAAGGUCGGGACCACCGUGCACAUGCCCUCGGCUCCGCGUCCUUGGACCCACCACCGGGCCCUCUGAGCCUGUUUCCUUGUCUGUGAUAUGAAGAAGUAAAACGCCCUCCACGAAGCUGUGGUCUCUACCACUGAAGAGAAACGUUUGCUCAGAUCCUCUGCGAUGGUUGUGAAUUCUCAAGGGAAAUGAUCAUUGUCAUUAAAUAUCUUCUGUCUGGAGCCCUGAACCAGACGCCUGGAUUUCCCAGCAACCGGAGCUAAACCGGACCAGAGAGGCUCCAGCCUGGUUCAUGCAGAACCUGCGGCAGCAGGCUGCCCGGGCUCUGUGAGCCCCUUCCAUGUGGGUGAAGCUCCCCAGCAGGGGUAUCAGCAAGGCAGUGGAGCUGAGCGGUGGUGAGUUCUCAGCCGGAGCUGGCAAAGGCCAAAUCAAACACCCUCGCGGUGGAAGAGACAGAGAUGGAGUUCUUCCCUGGGUGCGCAGCCGGAGAGCCACAGGACUGGAACCCGGGCCCAGGCUGCCCCGCCAGGUCCAGUCCUCUACCUGCCACCACCCAGCUGGCCUCCCCGGGGAGCUCUGUUGCACAGUGGGCUGCUGAGCAACGUGCCUGUCAAAGGAGUGACUCUCAAAUGCUGUAAUUUCUGUUUAUGGAAAGACGAGAGAGCAGAAGUCUUCCGGGAAUGGAUGCCUGGGGCAGGUCACCUCCUCCCUGCUCCAAGGAAACCCCUGGUGGGGCUUUGGGAUGCCCUCACCUCUCACAGGCCUCCUGUGUGGAUGUGAGCAGACAUCCUUUCAGCCUGGCUCUGCUGUCUGCACCUGCGCUUUCUGGGCACCACCUCUAGUGCAUCUGGGCUAGUCCACCGAUCUCCUUCCCAACCCUCGCUACUCUCCCAACCACCCCUGACCUGUCCAUGUCCCUCUACAGCUCUACAUCCCCAGCGCCCGUAGCAUAAAGGCUAGACUCCUUAAGCAGCACCUGCCUGCCUCUGGCCUCAUCCCCAACCUCUGCUCCCCACGUCUCACCCUCAGUAGUGCUGACCUGCUUAUACUCUCUACCCACCCUGACACACACACACACACACACACACACACACACACACACACACCGUGUUCUGUUGCCUCCAGCUAGAAUUCCACAUUCCCGUCUAGCUGGUGAACUCCUAGUCAUGCUUCAAGGCCUGACUAUCCCAGAAAGCUUUCUCAGACACCUUUCUCCCUCACAAGGGGGAGACAACACUUUCUCUCUGGAUGACUGUGUCCCGCGGUUUUAUCCCACAGUAUUUUGACUAGCAUGUGUCCAGUAGGCUGAACUCAGCAAGGGCAUUGGAUGGGCCCCACGUCUAGGACGGAGCUGGUUGCCAGGAGGUGCUCAGAGUGAGUGUGGCCCAGGUGAAAUGUAGCACCCUCCCAUCUGUACACGUGUGGUGAGGGUUUGGGGGUCACAGUGGCAUCCCUCAGAGGCCAGCCUUGGGAACGCUCCGGCCUCUGCUCUAGAACAAAGGCCUCCUUUUUCUCCCAGGAGCACACUGGUCAGGAGUGACUGCUGAUGAACGGAGGCUUCGGGCUUCUGCGGAUAGCACUGCCCCGUUCUUUGGCCGCAUGAGUGGGGCUUCCCCGCAGAGGCCCCUAGCUCAGCCCCUGCAUGGCAGCCGAAGAAGUGUCCCCCCUGCGGAUGACCACUUGCUGAUCUCCCAGGCCCAGGACUGUGUUGUUGUUUGCAGCCGAGGAAUUAAGGUUGCAGGUGGAACUGGGACUGCCAACCCACUGACCUUGAAAUGGGGAGAUCACCCUCCAUCCUCUGGGUGGGUCCAGUCUAACCAGAUCCUGAACCGUGGAGGGCAGGAGAGUGGCUUCAGGGCGCUGCGACCUGAGAAAGGCCGCUGCUGGCUGAGGCCCUGGGGGCAGGUGGUCUCAUGAAGUCAGGAAAGACAAGAAAACAGGUUCCCCCCGGGAGCCCCCAAGAACGAUGUGGUGCUGCUGACGAUUCGAUUUAACCCUCAGGAGAGUCCGUGUGUUGCUCUGAGCUGCGGAGUCUGGGGGUGUUGCUUUGUCAGCCACAGGCAUCAGGUACAGACCGAGGCCUAGAGAAAAGGGAGGCGGCCAAGCCCACCGCCUGUGGCACUGCCAGGCCUCUGACUCCCUGCCCGGGGCUCCUGGCCCUGCCCGCCCGCCUCCUCGGGCCACAGGACAGAAGCCCCAGGAAACACCCGCCGUCCGUUGGGCCCAGGGCGAGGGGGGACAGAGCACACCAUGGCCACUUUUUGAGGGCGCCAGCAAAUGCGCAAAUCUGGUGCACAGAGAAGCACAUGGGCCUCGAAUCCUGCAAAGCAGCCCAUUAACCGGUUUUGACAAAAGUUGGAACUUGCAGGAGCCGAGGGCUCAUCCUCCUGUCCGCCCCCGCCCCCCGCCCCCGUCCGCUUGGGGGCAGGCGGCGGCGGGCCGCGGAUGUGACUGGAUCUGCCAUCCUUAGUCCUUAGCUUCCUGGCGCCCUGGGCACCUCCCGGGUGCACCUCCUGUGUCCAGAGCCAAGCCCGGUGGCUCCUGCCUGUUCCUGGUGUCCUCACCCAUCCUCUUCCUUUUGAUCAGGGCAGGGGCCACGCUCCCUGACGAGCUGCAGGUCUCAGCACGCACACCGAGUUCCAGUAAUGCGUGACUCAUUGCCCCUGCCCCUCAGUGGGCCCUCCCCUGCCGGCAGGGCUGCUGGGCCCCGGGCCUGGCCUGCCGCCUGGGUGGGACCCAGGACACGGGCUGUGUCCCUACCUCCCCCGGGUGACUCCAGGAGCCUCCAGGGACUCAAGCCAGCUCUUUCCCUGGGGAUCUCAGUGACCUCUGUAUGAAAAGAGUUUCCCUUGGGGUGGAAACAUGAGGGGAUGCCUUUCCUCCUUGGUUGGUCUGGGCACCAGGAGCCCAUUGGCAUUGGUGGCUCCCCAGGGCCCAGAGGGGUCUUAGACUACCCCCCCCAGCCACCCGCAGUUGCCAGAUGGCCAAAGUUCCCAUGCUUCUUGGAAUUUGGGGUUCCCUCGGAGUCUGGAUGACCCACCCCCAGGCUCUGGGGGAUGGACAGAGGUGGCCGGUUCCUUCAGACUCAGGGUCCUGGGCAAGCACCCUAGGCUGGCCGGCUCCACCUCCCCUGUCCUCUGAGCAGCUAGUUGUCCUUCCCUGCUCCUCUGGGUGACCAGAGCCAGGAGGCCUGUGUAGUGUUUCCAACACGUGCCCAUGGCAGGCGGCUGGACUCUGGUGUUGAGUGCUGAGGAGCUGGGGCAAGCAGUCAUUGCCUCAUGACGAUGGCAAAAAUAGCAGUGAUCUUUCAGGCACGGCUCACAGGAGCCAAUCCUUCCCGGGUGUAGCGUCCUUCCCUGCAGCAUGCUUUUCUCUCUCAGAUGAGGACACCAAGGUCCCUCCUGGGAAGGGGACAAAUGCAGGGGAGGAGGGACAGCUUGGCUCCUAGGCUUUGCCACCCUGGUGUGGAAGGAGCCUGCUUCUCCCUCUGCCUGUGUCUCUGCCUCUCUCUCUGCGUCUCUCAUGAAUAAAUAAAUAAAAUCUUAAAAAAAAUUUUUUUA